AGGAAAGAAUACGUUAGCCUUAACACAGCACUUCUAAGGCAUCUUUGUGGCAACAGCAAAAAGAUUCAAUGCAAUGAUAUCAACCAAAACAACAGGUCAGACAGGACAGCCGUCACCAAGCGUAACAUCGCCAUCUGCAGGAGACUUUGGAUAACACAACGUACACAGGAAAGAAAUAUUGUUUUUCCAGUUCCAUUUUCCAGUUCCAUGGAUUGCCACUAGAGGGAGAUAUUACAUCAUUCUCUGCCGAGAGCUCUUGCCUUCUCAAAAUUGACAUGUAAUUAGAUGUUGGUGGCUUUACCUGAAAUAAAACAGUUCUCCGUCAGACAUCUUGAUUGAGUUGCUUGUUUGUUUCCAGUUUGACAUGUCUAUGUUAUGUUAGUCUAUACUCACAGGCAGCUAAUGAGGACCAAUUUUAGAAUGCUGAAUCCGACAAACCAUAAUUUUACUGUCAGAAAUGACAUUAUUGCAAGCAUUUGAACCCUUAUUAUGAAACCAUCUUAAACAAUAAUCAGUGUAUUUAAGUGUUUUAUGUCAGAUGAGAGAUUGUCUGUCAUAACCAUCAAUGGUACAAUGAUAACCUCAAAUCAUGGUUUAACAUGUAAUGGAUCAGAUU